GACGAACGCUGGCGGCGUGCUUAACACAUGCAAGUCGAACGGAAAGGCCCUGCUUUUGUGGGGUGCUCGAGUGGCGAACGGGUGAGUAACACGUGAGUAACCUGCCCUUGACUUUGGGAUAACUUCAGGAAACUGGGGCUAAUACCGGAUAGGAGCUCCUGCUGCAUGGUGGGGGUUGGAAAGUUUCGGCGGUUGGGGAUGGACUCGCGGCUUAUCAGCUUGUUGGUGGGGUAGUGGCUUACCAAGGCUUUGACGGGUAGCCGGCCUGAGAGGGUGACCGGCCAAAUUGGGAGUUGAGACGGGCCCGGACCCCCCCGGGGGGAAGGGGGGGGGAAAUUUGCAAAAUGGGGGGAAGCCUGGAGGGGCACACCCCGGGGGGGGAUAAGGGCCUUCGGGUUUUAAACCCCUUUUCCCUUGGAAGAGGGGGGGGGGACGGUAAUGGGGAAAAAAGCACCGGCUAACUACGG
rnacentral:rRNA from 1 species